CAGCCGCGGAAGAGUUCGCACACUGGAUUCGUGUCUCACACUUCCUGCACUGUGAGGGUGUGAUUUCAAAGAAACACUGAGGAGGAGGAGCAGCUGCUCAACAGUCCAACCAGGAAACAAGAAGAGAAGAACUGAGUGAGUUCAGACUCUCAACUUCCAGUCGACUGUCAGAGGAGGAGGAGCAGCCUGACUGAAGAUGAGUGAUGUGGGUGAAGAGGAGGACAGAGCAGAGUCUGUGGACAGGGAAGAGACGCCAGCUGGUCCUGCAGAGUCCAGGAGCAGAUACACAGCAGAGUCUUCAGGAUCCAGCAGGUUGUCUCUGAAGACUGACUGGUCCAAAGGUUUUCCACCAGACUUCAGUGUUGAACCUGGACCUUCAGACACAAAAGAGAAGAAGAGCAGUGAUGUCUGUGAGGAGCAGCAGGACCAGGGUUCUUCAUCAG